rnacentral:rRNA from 1 species
UACGUAGGGGGCUAGCGUUGUCCGGAAUCAUUGGGCGUAAAGCGCGUGUAGGCGGUCCGGUAAGUCCGCUGUGAAAGUCGGGGGCUCAACCCUCGGAUGCCGGUGGAUACUGUCGGGCUUGAGUACGGAAGAGGCGAGUGGAAUUCCUGGUGUAGCGGCGAAAUGCGCAGAUAUCAGGAGGAACACCAAUUGCGAAGGCAGCUCGCUGGGACGUUACUGACGCUGAGACGCGAAAGCGUGGGGAGCAAACAGG